ensembl:lncRNA novel transcript, antisense to HDAC7
ACAUAAGAUGCUCAAUAGAUGUUGAGUUGAAGUUGAAAAUUUAAAGUACUUUACAAAUGUGGGGGUUAUCCCAAGACGCAGCCCCCAAGCCAGCAGAGCUCCUGAGACGCCUGUGGCCAGGACUGAGGGGAGGGAUGGGAACCAGGCCUUUUGGCAAACAAGGCCUGAGUGUUGCUCUUGACCUGGCCCUGGUCUAGGGCUGUCGCUAGAGAUGGAGGCCAGUCCCUACCUUGAGGGGCCACUGUCUGGUAGGCCCUGCUGGCUCCAUCGGGGGGGCUCAGAGGAUAACCCCUCACUGGGGGGUGCUCACCAUUGCUGCCUGGGUCACUCACAGGAAUCUUACUCCAGACCAACAGCAGGUCACCUGGCUGGCACCGGAAGCCCUAGGAUCUGGCCACGGUGGGGCAGGGUACCACCAAGAUCCUUCAGUCUGAGCUCAGCGAGUGUCCCAUCUCCACACUUACUGUGCACCCGGAUCACGGCCUCCAGAGAGCGGAUGGCAUUGAGGUUGGGUUUCUGUUUCCAGCCUUCUUCUGAAAGGGGAUCCACCUAUAGAAAACAGUACAUCAGCCACCAGUCUCUCAGGGACCCACAGGCCCAGCUCACUCCCACCCCAGGGGCCCCAGCCUUCUAGCCACAAGCACACUCUACCUAGGCCAGGAGAUGCUGCCUGGACCUAACUUGGAACAGAGGCUUCCGCUUCGCCUACCUUGUUUCAGGCUUGGCCACUCCCACCCUGUCCCAUCCCAUCUGCCUGCUCCUUGGGUAGUCCUGAGAGCCGGGCUUACCUGCCUGACAGAAGCAUGGAUGGGGGAGGGAGACGGCUCACCCUGUUACCCAGAAGAGCAGCCACACAGGCCUCAGAGGCGUCACAGAUGGCUGUGAGGUCAUGGCCACCCUCCAAGGCCAGCACCACUGCGCCUCCUGCCAGGUUCAUCAGUUGCUGCGUCAUGUAUCCAAAACCUAGAGGUUGGGAGGGGAGAAAUGGGAGGGGCGGGAGUGGAGAGGUGACCCUGUUCUCUACCCCUGUGGCUUCCCUGCUUGCUUCCUCCCUAAUAAAGAAUGACUCACAUGUAUCAA